GUGGGGAAUCUUAGACAAUGGGCGCAAGCCUGAUCUAGCCAUGCCGCGUGAGCGAUGAAGGCCUUAGGGUUGUAAAGCUCUUUCGUGGGGGAAGAUAAUGACUGUACCCCAAGAAGAAGCCCCGGCUAACUCCGUGCCAGCAGCCGCGGUAAUACGGAGGGGGCUAGCGUUGUUCGGAAUUACUGGGCGUAAAGCGCACGUAGGCGGACUGGAAAGUCAGGGGUGAAAUCCCGGGGCUCAACCCCGGAACUGCCUUCAAAACUCCCAGUCUUGAGUUCGAGAGAGGUGAGUGGAAUUCCGAGUGUAGAGGUGAAAUUCGUAGAUAUUCGGAGGAACACCAGUGGCGAAGGCGGCUCACUGGCUCGAUACUGACGCUGAGGUGCGAAAGCGUGGGGAGCAAACAGGAUUAGAAACCCGAGUAGUCC
rnacentral:rRNA from 1 species